GCAGUGAUGGUUUAGUGGUAGAAUUCUUGCCUUCCAUGCACGAGACUGGGGUUCGAUUCCCAGUCCUGCG
rnacentral:tRNA from 1 species